GUGCGAGCCCUGUCAAGCUUAUAGUGAAGUUGCACUUUAACCAGUUUUAGAGACAUUUUCCAGUAAUGACUGACAAGCCUGGAAUGAGCAAGAGGAGCAGCUGGUGAGGGUGACGCAGGACUCAGAGUCCUGCAGGUUCACAGAGAGGCGGAUUCUGACAUCAACGACUAAGCGCCAUCCAACAGGGCUGGACUGAUGAGAAGACCACUGGAGAGACCAGGAAUCAACAUCAGGGCAAAACGUAAGCCCAAAACUCUCAACCUUAAUGAGAUCUUCCAUUCUGUUCCAAAGAACUGUCUUCCCUGGCUUUUCUCAUUUGUUUUCGAACACUUACACACAUGAAUGUUAAUAAAUAAGGGACAAAUAAAUAUAUCUUUUAAACAUGUACACUGCUACUCAAUUCAUACAGAGAGAUUAGCAGGUCCUGUGGAUUAAGAUGGACAGCAAGCUGGGCUCU
rnacentral:lncRNA from 1 species